rnacentral:rRNA from 1 species
UUAAGCGACUAAGCGUACACGGUGGAUGCCCUGGCAGUCAGAGGCGAUGAAGGGCGUGCUAAUCUGCGAUAAGCGCCGGUAAGGUGAUAUGAACCGUUAUAACCGGCGAUACCCGAAUGGGGAAACCCAGUGUGAUUCGUCACACUAUCAUUAACUGAAUCCAUAGGUUAAUGAGGCGAACCGGGGGAACUGAAACAUCUAAGUACCCCGAGGAAAAGAAAUCAACCGAGAUUCCCCCAGUAGCGGCGAGCGAACGGGGAGGAGCCCAGAGCCUGAAUCAGCAUGUGUGUUAGUGGAAGCGUCUGGAAAGGCGCGCGAUACAGGGUGACAGCCCCGUACACAAAAGCGCAUGUGCUGUGAGCUCGAUGAGUAGGGCGGGACACGUGGUAUCCUGUCUGAAUAUGGGGGGACCAUCCUCCAAGGCUAAAUACUCCUGACUGACCGAUAGUGAACCAGUACCGUGAGGGAAAGGCGAAAAGAACCCCGGCGAGGGGAGUGAAAAAGAACCUGAAACCGUGUACGUACAAGCAGUGGGAGCACCCUUCGGGGUGUGACUGCGUACCUUUUGUAUAAUGGGUCAGCGACUUAUAUUCUGUAGCAAGGUUAACCGUAUAGGGGAGCCGGAGGGAAACCGAGUCUUAACCGGGCGUUAAGUUGCAGGGUAUAGACCCGAAACCCGGUGAUCUAGCCAUGGGCAGGUUGAAGGUUGGGUAACACUAACUGGAGGACCGAACCGACUAAUGUUGAAAAAUUAGCGGAUGACCUGUGGCUGGGGGUGAAAGGCCAAUCAAACCGGGAGAUAGCUGGUUCUCCCCGAAAGCUAUUUAGGUAGCGCCUCGUGAAUUCAUCUCCGGGGGUAGAGCACUGUUUCGGCUAGGGGGCCAUCCCGGCUUACCAACCCGAUGCAAACUGCGAAUACCGGAGAAUGUUAUCACGGGAGACACACGGCGGGUGCUAACGUCCGUCGUGAAGAGGGAAACAACCCAGACCGCCAGCUAAGGUCCCAAAGUCAUGGUUAAGUGGGAAACGAUGUGGGAAGGCCCAGACAGCCAGGAUGUUGGCUUAGAAGCAGCCAUCAUUUAAAGAAAGCGUAAUAGCUCACUGGUCGAGUCGGCCUGCGCGGAAGAUGUAACGGGGCUAAACCAUGCACCGAAGCUGCGGCAGCGAACGUAUCACCCAAGACAACUUUACGGAGUUGACGAUUGACGGAGCGAAGCGACGUCAAAGCGUUCAUUAAAGUCGAGUUGGCUUAGGGAUACGUUCGUUGGGUAGGGGAGCGUUCUGUAAGCCUGUGAAGGUGUGUCGUGAGGCAUGCUGGAGGUAUCAGAAGUGCGAAUGCUGACAUAAGUAACGAUAAAGCGGGUGAAAAGCCCGCUCGCCGGAAGACCAAGGGUUCCUGUCCAACGUUAAUCGGGGCAGGGUGAGUCGACCCCUAAGGCGAGGCCGAAAGGCGUAGUCGAUGGGAAAACGGGUUAAUAUUCCCGUACUUGGUGUUACUGCGAAGGGGGGACGGAGAAGGCUAUGUUGGCCGGGCGACGGUUGUCCCGGUUUAAGCGUGUAGGUGUGUGUUCCAGGUAAAUCCGGUUCACUUUAACACUGAGGCGUGACGACGAGGCACUACGGUGCUGAAGCAACAAAUGCCCUGCUUCCAGGAAAAGCCUCUAAGCAUCAGGUAACACGAAAUCGUACCCCAAACCGACACAGGUGGUCAGGUAGAGAAUACCAAGGCGCUUGAGAGAACUCGGGUGAAGGAACUAGGCAAAAUGGUGCCGUAACUUCGGGAGAAGGCACGCUGACACGUAGGUGAAGUGAUUUACUCAUGGAGCUGAAGUCAGUCGAAGAUACCAGCUGGCUGCAACUGUUUAUUAAAAACACAGCACUGUGCAAACACGAAAGUGGACGUAUACGGUGUGACGCCUGCCCGGUGCCGGAAGGUUAAUUGAUGGGGUCAGCGUAAGCGAAGCUCCUGAUCGAAGCCCCGGUAAACGGCGGCCGUAACUAUAACGGUCCUAAGGUAGCGAAAUUCCUUGUCGGGUAAGUUCCGACCUGCACGAAUGGCGUAAUGAUGGCCAGGCUGUCUCCACCCGAGACUCAGUGAAAUUGAACUCGCUGUGAAGAUGCAGUGUACCCGCGGCAAGACGGAAAGACCCCGUGAACCUUUACUAUAGCUUGACACUGAACAUUGAGCCUUGAUGUGUAGGAUAGGUGGGAGGCUUUGAAGUGUGGACGCCAGUCUGCAUGGAGCCGACCUUGAAAUACCACCCUUUAAUGUUUGAUGUUCUAACGUGGACCCGUAAUCCGGGUUGCGGACAGUGUCUGGUGGGUAGUUUGACUGGGGCGGUCUCCUCCUAAAGAGUAACGGAGGAGCACGAAGGUUGGCUAAUCCUGGUCGGACAUCAGGAGGUUAGUGCAAUGGCAUAAGCCAGCUUGACUGCGAGCGUGACGGCGCGAGCAGGUGCGAAAGCAGGUCAUAGUGAUCCGGUGGUUCUGAAUGGAAGGGCCAUCGCUCAACGGAUAAAAGGUACUCCGGGGAUAACAGGCUGAUACCGCCCAAGAGUUCAUAUCGACGGCGGUGUUUGGCACCUCGAUGUCGGCUCAUCACAUCCUGGGGCUGAAGUAGGUCCCAAGGGUAUGGCUGUUCGCCAUUUAAAGUGGUACGCGAGCUGGGUUUAGAACGUCGUGAGACAGUUCGGUCCCUAUCUGCCGUGGGCGCUGGAGAACUGAGGGGGGCUGCUCCUAGUACGAGAGGACCGGAGUGGACGCAUCACUGGUGUUCGGGUUGUCAUGCCAAUGGCACUGCCCGGUAGCUAAAUGCGGAAGAGAUAAGUGCUGAAAGCAUCUAAGCACGAAACUUGCCCCGAGAUGAGUUCUCCCUGAGACUUAGAGUCUCCUGAAGGAACGUUGAAGACGACGACGUUGAUAGGCCGGGUGUGUAAGCGCAGCGAUGCGUUGAGCUAACCGGUACUAAUGAACCGUGAGGCUUAACCUU